AAAAGUCAUUAAUUUUUAGUAGCUCCUGCUCAAUGAAUAUUAAAUAGCCGCAGUCAACUGUGCUAAGGUAGCAUAAUCAUUUGCCUAAUAAUUAUAGGAUAGAAUGAACGGUGUCACAUGUUAUCUUCUUUAUUAAACAGGGUCCUCUAAAUUAAUAUUUAAGUAAAAAUCCUUAAAUGCUAAGGGGGACGACAAGACCCUGACGAACUUUACUAUAUGUUUAGCUGGGGCGGCAGACAAAUAAAACCUUUCCUUCCUAUAUUACAAUUCAACCUAAAAUUUGAUAACCAAGUUACCGCAGGGAUAACAGCAUAAUUCUUCCCUGAAGAUCUUAUACAAGGAAGUAUUUGUGACCUCGAUGUUGAAUUAAAAAUCUUUUAGAGGCAACACUCUAAACAGAAAGUCUGUUCGACUUUUAAA
rnacentral:rRNA from 1 species